rnacentral:lncRNA from 1 species
UCGCAGGGGGGUGAGGCACCCCCGCGAUGCGGGGAGGGCUGAGACUGUGGUCUGGGCUGUUCCAGACUUCAACACUCACCCCUUGUCCCCCCGCAGGGCUAUGGCGUGUGCUCGGUGGGGCUGGAGCGGCUGGCUUACCUCCUCGUGGCUUACAGCCUGGGCGCCUCAGCCGCCUCACUCCUGGGCCUGCUGGGCCUGUGGCUGCCACGCCCGGUGCCCCUGGUGGCCGGAGCAGGGGUGCACCUGCUGCUCACCUUCAUCCUCUUUUUCUGGGCCCCUGUGCCUCGGGUCCUGCAACACAGCUGGAUCCUCUAUGUGGCAGCUGCCCUUUGGGGUGUGGGCAGUGCCCUGAACAAGACUGGACUCAGCACACUCCUGGGAAUCUUGUACGAAGACAAGGAGAGACAGGACUUCAUCUUCACCAUCUACCACUGGUGGCAGGCUGUGGCCAUCUUCACCGUGUACCUGGGCUCGAGCCUGCACAUGAAGGCUAAGCUGGCGGUGCUGCUGGUGACGCUGGUGGCGGCCG